AUUGAACGCUGGCGGCAUGCUUUACACAUGCAAGUCGAACGGUAACAGGUUAAGCUGACGAGUGGCGAACGGGUGAGUAAUGCAUCGGAACGUGCCCGGUCGUGGGGGAUAACGCAGCGAAAGCUGCGCUAAUACCGCAUACGAUCUGAGGAUGAAAGCGGGGGACCGUAAGGCCUCGCGCGAUCGGAGCGGCCGAUGUCAGAUUAGGUAGUUGGUGGGGUAACGGCUAACCAAGACAACGAUCUGUAGCUGGUCUGAGAGGACGAUCAGCCACACUGGGACUGAGAGACGGCCCAGACUCCUACGGGAGGCAGCAGUGGGGAAUUUUGGACACUGGGCGAAAGCCUGAUCCAGCAAUGCCGCGUGCAGGAAGAAGGCCUUCGGGUUGUAAACUGCUUUUGUACGGAGCGAAAAGGUCUCCUCUAAUACAGGGGGCUCAUGACGGUACCGUAAGAAUAAGCACCGGCUAACUACGUGCCAGCCGCCGCAGUAA
rnacentral:rRNA from 1 species